rnacentral:lncRNA from 1 species
GGGUACAUUUUGUUAGCAAACACCCUUUUAUCAUCUUUUGUAUUUGAUGAUUAGCAAUGUAAAGAAAAGAAUGUAAAGCUUAUUUUGAGGUAAAUGUGAUGUACGAAAGAAAUGAUGUAGUGAAUGCAAAGAAUCCUAAAUGUAAGAAAUGGAUGCAAUGUAUGUGAUCUAAAAUGAAUCAUACUAUUUGUGUAGAUGUUUAGUUUUCCUUUCUUUCACUAAUGGCUAUUGCUUACCUUCGUGUAAGCCGUUUGUGUAUGUUUCCGCUAGUGCUUUUCUCUAUUGAUGAAAAUGUACAUGUGAUGAGCCUUGGGCGGAUAGGGGAAACUCUGUCCGUUCGGCGUCUGUUUGACGUGCUCGGGUCGGGCCAAAUUGGUAUCGGUCCCGGGGCGUGACAUCUCCACUUCACCUACUUUCGACUUCCCGCUCUAAAGUGCCGAACUCGACUUCCGCCAUACUCAACCUUCUCUAAAAAAUUUAUUAAAUAGUAAAACCCAAACUCUAUUUCCUUUAUAAUGGGUUAGAAUUACCUUAUUUAUAAUAAGUUAGGAUUAUCUUUAAAUAAUAAUGAAAAAUUUAAUUAUUUAAUAGGUUAAAUUUUAUAGAGAUAAGU